rnacentral:rRNA from 1 species
AGGGAAUCUUCCGCAAUGGACGAAAGUCUGACGGAGCAACGCCGCGUGAGUGAAGAAGGCCUUCGGGUCGUAAAGCUCUGUUGCCAGGGAAGAACGUCCUGUAAAGUAACUGCUACAGGAGUGACGGUACCUGAGAAGAAAGCCCCGGCUAACUACGUGCCAGCAGCCGCGGUAAUACGUAGGGGGCAAGCGUUGUCCGGAAUUAUUGGGCGUAAAGCGCGCGCAGGCGGCUGUUUAAGUCUGGUGUUUAAUCCUGGGGCUCAACUCCGGGUCGCACUGGAAACUGGACGGCUUGAGUGCAGAAGAGGAGAGUGGAAUUCCACGUGUAGCGGUGAAAUGCGUAGAGAUGUGGAGGAACACCAGUGGCGAAGGCGACUCUCUGGGCUGUAACUGACGCUGAGGCGCGAAAGCGUGGGGAGCAAAC